UCCUGAAUCUGCCCACUGUUGAGUUUCCUCUUUCUGCACAACCACGGAAGGAGCAGAAACAGAGAAGGGUGGACCUAUUUUGGGAGGCAGCACCGUGCAUGGGAGUACCGAGGCACUCAGUUUACAGGUCCCACAAUAUAAGAAGAUAUAAAGCUACAAAGGAGGGCCACAAAGAUGCUAAAGGGUCUAGAGGAGAUGCCAUAUGAGGAACAGCUGAGGUCACUUGAUCUGUUCAGCCUGGAGGAGCCUGAGGGGAGACCUCACAGCAGUCAACAGCUUCCUCAAAAGGAUUAGCUUUUCAUCAUGCCAGAGUCCUCGAAGAAAGAGCCACAGGGGUGUUGGGUAUGGCAUACCAUGCUCACAUCACUUGUGAUUAUCAAACUGCUUCCAUAACAUAAGCACCCCUAACACAAACUGGAAAAGGAAAGUACAAGCUUGGUGACUUUUGAGUUUGUCACUGUAUUUUAAGAACUGUUCUGCCAAUGCACUUCUCUGAUAUGAGACUAAACUACAAGCCAUGAAACACUGUGA